AGUGAACAAGCGUGUUCCAUGGCUGAACCCUUGGGGGACAGGCCAGGUUUAUUGCAUGGUGCUUAUUUCCUCGGUGCCCCCAGGCUGGCCUGAAACUUGGAAUUCCCCCUGCUUCACUCCUGAGUAGCUGGGAUUACAGGUAAAUGGAUGGAAUUGGAGAAUAUCAUGCUAAUCGAAAAAGCCAAUCCCCAAAACCAAAGGCCGAAUGUUUUCUCUGAUAAGUGGAUGCUGAUCCAUAAUGGCAGAGCAUGGGAAAAAUGGAAGUGCUUU